rnacentral:rRNA from 1 species
CAAUAGCGUAUAUUAAAGUUGUUGCGGUUAAAAAGCUCGUAGUUGGAUUUCUGCCGAGGACGACCGGUCCGCCCUCUGGGUGAGUAUCUGGUUCGGCCUGGGCAUCUUCUUGGAGAACGUAUCAGCACUUGACUGUGUGGUGCGGUAUCCAGGACUUUUACUUUGAGGAAAUUAGAGUGUUUCAAGCAGGCACACGCCUUGAAUACAUUAGCAUGGAAUAAUGGAAUAGGACCCUGGUCCUAUUUUGUUGGUUUUGAGGACUAGAGUAAUGAUUAAUAGGGAUAGUUGGGGGCAUUCAUAUUUAAUUGUCAGAGGUGAAAUUCUUGGAUUUAUGAAAGAUGAACUUCUGCGAAAGCAUUUGCCAAGGAUGUUUUCAUUAAUCAAGAACGAAAGUUAGGGGAUCGAAGAUGAUCAGAUACCAU